UAGGGAAUCUUCCACAAUGGACGCAAGUCUGAUGGAGCAACGCCGCGUGAGUGAAGAAGGUUUUCGGAUCGUAAAGCUCUGUUGUUGGUGAAGAAAGAUAGUGAGAGUAACUGCUCAUUAUUUGCCGGUAAUCAACCAGAAAGUCACGGCUAACUACGUG
rnacentral:rRNA from 2 species